GAUUACCUCACUCUGGCGUGCUUCGCAGAGACUGCAUUUUCAUGAACAUCAAGGCAAGACCCUCCACCAGCAAAAAGAUUACGACUCACUGAAGGCUCAGACGAUGGUUAAAAAGCAUUUUUAAAUUAAGGAAAGAGCACUCUUGAAGGAAGACAGAACAGAAAGACAGCUGAGCAGUGGAGGAAGACAAAUUCCUGCCGACAUCGCUUCAGUGCUUGAGGUCUUACCCGCCAGUCCGGGUCUUCAGAAUAGAAGUUCUGCUGCAGCAGCGUAUGCAUUCCAGGCCUCUCAACUCUGGUUCUGUGCUAGUUUGGCAUCAUCAGCUACCAGUCCGGACCUUGUGUCUCUCUGCCCAGGAGACCGUCCGCUGCGACACGCCGGGGAUCACGCUUGCGUUGUUCACGCCUCAUCUCCAGUACCUGGCCGACUGCAGGUGCCAGUGACGAGGUAAACGUCUCAACUGACACGGUGAGGUAGUGCCUGUGGGAGACCCAGGGGUGAAGUAAGGGGACUGAGGCAGAGCGAGGCCAUCCUGCGAACAAGCACAGCUCCAGCGAGGCUGCCCGAGAAGCUUCCAGACACGAGGCAAGACGGCUGCUGCCACCCGGGACUUGGAGAGCCGGGCUGUUCCACACACCGCCCCUCCGCCUGGACCCCAUCCUUGAGCUCUGCCAGGAGGGAUGGAAUUCCGGACGGCGUGGCCUGGACAGACGCGGGCCCCCUUAGGUCACCAGGCUGGCUGGGAAACCGGACAGAGGGACAGAGCCUGUCGAAUGCGUCUUUCUCCCUGAAAACGGCCCCCUCCCAGUACUGCUGGCCUGGCCCGUGAGGCAGCCCGCAGUCGCCAUGCCACUGCAGACC